GUGGGGAAUAUUGGACAAUGGGGGGAACCCUGAUCCAGCCAUGCCGCGUGUGUGAAGAAGGCCUUUUGGUUGUAAAGCACUUUAAGCGAGGAGGAGGAGCUCUUGGUUAAUACCCAGGAUGCUUGGACGUUACUCGCAGAAUAAGCACCGGCUAACUCUGUGCCAGCAGCCGCGGUAAUACAGAGGGUGCAAGCGUUAAUCGGAUUUACUGGGCGUAAAGCGCGCGUAGGUGGCCAAUUAAGUCAAAUGUGAAAUCCCCGAGCUUAACUUGGGAAUUGCAUUCGAUACUGGUUGGCUAGAGUAUGGGAGAGGAUGGUAGAAUUCCAGGUGUAGCGGUGAAAUGCGUAGAGAUCUGGAGGAAUACCGAUGGCGAAGGCAGCCAUCUGGCCUAAUACUGACACUGAGGUGCGAAAGCAUGGGGAGCAAACAGGAUUAGAAACCCUAGUAGUCC
rnacentral:rRNA from 1 species